rnacentral:rRNA from 1 species
UACGUAGGGGGCAAGCGUUGUCCGGAUUUAUUGGGCGUAAAGAGCGUGUAGGCGGUUUGGUAGGUCCGCUGUGAAAACUCGAGCUCAACCUCGAGACGCCGGUGGAAACCAUCAGACUAGAGUCCGGAAGAGGAGAGUGGAAUUCCCGGUGUAGCGGUGAAAUGCGCAGAUAUCAGGAAGAACACCCGUGGCUAAGGCGGCUCUCUAGUACG